rnacentral:rRNA from 1 species
CCUACGGGUGGCAGCAGUGGGGGAUAUUGCACAAUGGGGGAAACCCUGAUGCAGCGACGCCGCGUGUGUGAAGACGGUCCUCUGGAUUGUAAACCACUUUCCCCAGGGACGAAGUUGACGGUACCUGGGGAGGAAGCUCCGGCAAACUACGUCCCAGCAGCCGCGGUAAUACGUAGGGAGCGAGCGUUGUCCGGAAUUACUGGGUGUAAAGGGAGCGUAGGCGGGGAUGCAAGUUGGGUGUCAAAACUACGGGCUCAACUGGUAGUCGCACUCAAAACUGCAGCGCUUGAGUGAAGUAGAGGCAGGCGGAAUUCCUAGUGUAGCGGUGAAAUGCGUAGAUAUUAGGAGGAACACCAGUGGCGAAGGCGGCCUGCUGGGCUUUUACUGACGCUGAGGCUCGAAAGUGUGGGGAGCAAACAGGAUUAGAUACCCGGGUAGUC